UACGUAGGGGGCAAGCGUUGUCCGGAAUCAUUGGGCGUAAAGAGCGUGUAGGCGGCCAGAUAAGUCCGCUGUGAAAUCUCGAGGCUCAACUUCGAGCUGUCGGUGGAAACUGUCUGGCUAGAGUCCGGAAGAGGAGAAUGGAAUUCCUGGUGUAGCGGUGAAAUGCGCAGAUAUCAGGAGGAACACCAACGGCGAAGGCAGCUCUCUGGGACGUUACUGACGCUGAGACGCGAAAGCGUGGGGAGCAAACAGG
rnacentral:rRNA from 1 species